rnacentral:lncRNA from 1 species
GGGAGGAGGGGAGGACGGGGGAGCCGGCACAGGCAGCAGGAACCAGCAGAGCCCACAGCCCUUGAUCGAAGAUGAUCCCGUUUCCGGUCUGGCCCCAGCCCUUGGCAGGCCCGGGAGUGGAGCUUCCCUCCAAGAGCGUAAGGUUUGAGAUGGACUUCUGUUAUUGACAACCCAGAGGUUCCUGACUAACGCAUCAUUCAUUUGUCAAACACUGUGCUCCUGCUCUAUGCCAGACUACACAGGAUGGUGGAAUCCGAGGAUGACUGCGACACAGCUCCUGCCUUCAAGGAGCUUGGAGUCUCCUAAGCCUUGUCCAAAUGCUGCUCCUCUGUGACUACUUGGCCAGCUCCCACAGACAGUGAGCCCCCUUCUCCCCUCUGCUUCCCAGCACUAGGUUCACACUAUUCAUUCAAUGAAUAUUGCCAGGAGUGGUGGCUUAUGCCUGUAAUUCCAAGACUUUGGGAGACUGAGGCAAGUGGAUCACUUGUGGCCAGGAGUUUGAGACCAGCCUGAGCAACACAGGGAGACCCCACUUCUACAAAGAAAUAAAAACAUUAGGUGAUGUGGUGUUCACACCUGUAAUCUCAGCUACUCAGGAGGCUGAGGCAGGAGGAUCCCUUGAACCCAGGAGGUUGAAGCUGCAGGGAGCUAUGGUUGCACCACCAGCCUGGGCGAGAGUGAAGUUCAUUGGUUACCUACUUCAGGCCAGGCUCCAUGUUCCUCCUAUUGUAGAAUUGUCCCAGACUGUGUCUGCCUCUGCCUCUUAGACUGUAUGUUCUUGGAUAAUGGGCACCAUGCUGGUGAAUCCCCAGUGCCUAAGGCUGCGCCUAACGUGUGCUAAUUGCUUGUGUUUAUUGAAUGAAUGAAAGAAUGUGGAUUUCUGUGUGUGUUUAUGUGUGUUGGGAUGAGGGAGUGGACAACCAAAGAGAAGGACAAUAUGACAUAGCACCCAUAGCAGAGGAGAGGGUCCUGGAAGUUUCUAGAUCCAGCCAGGGCUCAGCCAGAAAAGCCAGCACACGGCUCUGAUCAAUUGAAUAAGAGCAGAUGUCUCCCUGCAGAUAGAUGCCUUCCCCACAUUUGCAACACAGGCGUCCCUGUCUCAGCACCAGUCCUGAAGAGCUGUCUCUGGAAGUUUUUCCCUUCUCCAAACCCCACCCAUAGUGUCCCGCCUGGCCACUACAUGGAUUCGUGUGAGGGCUCAAUGUAGCCUCUCCCUCUCAGGCUGACGGGGCCCAUUCUUCACACACAGCACUCGCUCACCAACAUGGGCUGGGGCCUCCUCAGAGCCGUGGAGGCAGGGAGUCACGGACUGACAGCCGGGCCUCAGGUGAGCCAAAACGCCC